rnacentral:tRNA from 1 species
GCCGAAGUGGUGGAAUUGGUAGACACGCCGGACUCAAAAUCCGGUGAUAGCAAUAUUGUGUGGGUUCAAGUCCCACCUUCGGUA